rnacentral:rRNA from 1 species
GAUUAACGCUAGCGGCAGGCCUAAUACAUGCAAGUCGAACGGGAUUCAAAGUAGCAAUAUUUUGAUGAGAGUGGCGCACGGGUGAGUAACACGUAUGCAAUUUACCUUUAACUGGGGGAUAGCCCUCCGAAAGGAGGAUUAAUACCGCAUAAUAUAUUGAAAUGGCAUCAUUUUAAUAUUAAACCUACGGGGGUUAAAGAUGAGCAUGCAUCCGAUUAGCUAGUUGGUGUGGUAACGGCUCACCAAGGCAACGAUCGGUAGGGGGUCUGAGAGGAUGAUCCCCCACACUGGUACUGAGACACGGACCCGACUCCUACGGGAGGCAGCAGUAAGGAAUAUUGGUCAAUGGAGGGAACUCUGAACCAGCCAUGCCGCGUGAAGGAAGAAGGCGCUACGCGUUGUAAACUUCUUUUGGGUGGGACGAAAAUAAUCCAUUUAUGGAUAGCUGACGGUACCAUCAGAAUAAGCACCGGCUAACUCCGUGCCAGCAGCCGCGGUAAU